CAGCAGCCACGGUAAUACGAAGGGGGCUAGCGUUGUUCGGAUUUACUGGGCGCAAAGCGCACGUAGGCGGACUUUUAAGUCAGGGGUGAAAUCCCGGGGCUCAACCCCGGAACUGCCUUUGAUACUGGAAGUCUUGAGUAUGGUAGAGGUGAGUGGAAUUCCGAGUGUAGAGGUGAAAUUCGUAGAUAUUCGGAGGAACACCAGUGGCGAAGGCGGCUCACUGGACCGACAUUGACGCUGAGGCGCGAAAGCGUGGGGAGCAAACAGGAUUAGAUACCCCAGUAGUCCCUGUCUCUUAUAC
rnacentral:rRNA from 1 species